CAGCCCCUCGAGUGGUGGGGAUGAUUAUUUGGCCUAAAGCGUCCGUAGCCGGCCUAGCAAGUCUUCCGUUAAAUCCAGCGUCUCAAGCGUUGGACUGCGGGAGAUACUACACGGCUAGAGAGUGGGAGAGGUCAGCGGUAUUCUGGGGGUAGGGGCGAAAUCCUUUGAUCCCCGGAGGACCACCAGUGGCGAAGGCUGCUGACUAGAACACGUCUGACGGUCAGGGACGAAAGCUGGGGUAGCGAACCGGAUUAGAUACCCGAGUAGUCC
rnacentral:rRNA from 1 species